rnacentral:lncRNA from 1 species
AGAAGAAUCUAAAUUUCUUCAAAUUUUGAUAGAAAAUACUUUAAACUACAUAGAUUAAGGUUAACAUUCUCGAUCGUGAAUUUAAAAGUCCUAUGCUCAAAUUUUAAAGAGUAUUCAAUUUCCACCGUCUAUUUUGACAUAAUUUAUUUACUAAGUAAACGAUAUCGAAAAAAAAUAAAAUUUUAUUUCUAAGAACUUCAUAUACCCGGUGUGGAUCGUUGAUUUGAACGCCCUAAGAUCGAAAACAAUGUUAUAGUACCGAAGCUCUGGUACUAUACAUAGUAUAUAGAGAUGUCAACGGGUCGGAUUCGGGGCGGAUUUUUAAAAAUCCGAACCCGAACCCGACUCCAAACCCGAGACCCGAACCCGAACCCAAACCCGACGGAUUUUAAAAAUCUAUAUCCAAAUCCGAACCCGACCAAAAAUCCGAAACCUGAACCCGAACCCGAACCCGAAAAUUUGAACCCGAAACAAUUAUUUUUUUUUUAAUAUUUAAAAAUAUAUUAUAUUAAAUCAAGCUUUUUAAAAUACAAAUUCAAAUAUAACAUCAAAUUUUUAUUUAUAUAUAUAUAUAUUAUAUAUAAUACAAAAUAAAUUCGGGUUUGGUUCGGGUUCGGGUCGGGUUCGGGUUCCGGUUGGGUACAAUCAAAAUCCAUAUCCAAAUCCAUAUCCGUCGGGUUUCUAUU